rnacentral:tRNA from 1 species
GAAGGAUAUUGGGUGUUACUGCUAAUAAUACAUAGAGCUUUUUUAGCUCAUCUUUCU